UCACACACUGCAUUAGUUAAAUACCCAGUAGCCAGGAAAAGGGGGGUGACGAGGGGCUUGCAGCAGACUGAAAGGGAAAGCAGAGUGUCUGCACUGCACAUCUGUACAGGCUGUUCACAUCCUAGGAACAAUACGUCCCUCAGGAAGACAAGAUCCCCAGAAACGAUUUUGUGCUCCACUUUUUCCUGACAAAUGUGAGCCGCCGAUGAUCACAAUGCACACAAAGUGUUGGAUUUGUAAAGAAGAUUUGAUCUGCUUUGGCUGAUUAAAUAUUCAAAAAGCCCAUCAUGGAGUCUGCAAAUCGGAAAACACAG